AACGAACGCUGGCGGCAUGCCUAACACAUGCCAGUCGAACGAGACCUUCGGGUCUAGUGGCGCACGGGUGCGUAACGCGUGGGAACCUGCCCUUAGGUUCGGAAUAACUCCCCGAAAGGGGUGCUAAUACCGGAUAAUGUCUUCGGACCAAAGAUUUAUCGCCUUUGGAUGGGCCCGCGUUGGAUUAGCUAGUUGGUAGGGUAAAAGCCUACCAAGGCGACGAUCCAUAGCUGGUCUGAGAGGAUGAUAAGCCACACUGGGACUGAGACACGGCCCAGACUCCUACGGGAGGCAGCAGUGGGGAAUAUUGGACAAUGGGCGAAAGCCUGAUCCAGCAAUGCCGCGUGAGUGAUGAAGGCCUUAGGGUUGUAAAGCUCUUUUACCCGGGAUGAUAAUGACAGUACCGGGAGAAUAAGCUCCGGCUAACUCCGUG
rnacentral:rRNA from 1 species